rnacentral:rRNA from 1 species
UAAUACGGAGGAUCCAAGCGUUAUCCGGAAUCAUUGGGUUUAAAGGGUCCGUAGGCGGUUUUAUAAGUCAGUGGUGAAAUCUUUCGGCUCAACCGAGAAAUGGCCAUUGAUACUGUAAGACUUGAAUUAUUAUGAAGUAACUAGAAUAUGUAGUGUAGCGGUGAAAUGCUUAGAUAUUACAUGGAAUACCAAUUGCGAAGGCAGGUUACUAAUAAUUGAUUGACGCUGAUGGACGAAAGCGUGGGUAGCGAACAGGAUUAGAUACCCUGGUAGUCCACGCCGUAAACGAUGGAUACUAGCUGUUGGGCGCAAGCUCAGUGGCUAAGCGAAAGUGAUAAGUAUCCCACCUGGGGAGUACGUUCGCAAGAAUG